UACGGAGGGUGCAAACGUUGCUCGGAAUCAUUGGGCGUAAAGCGCACGUAGGCGGCUCAGCAAGUCGGGUGUGAAAGCCCUCGGCUCAACCGAGGAAGUGCAUUCGAAACUACUGAGCUUGAAUACUGGAGAGGAUCGCGGAAUUCCCGGUGUAGAGGUGAAAUUCGUAGAUAUCGGGAGGAACACCAGUGGCGAAGGCGGCGACCUGGACGGACGACUGACGCUGAGACGCGGACAGCGUGGGGAGCAAACAGG
rnacentral:rRNA from 1 species